AAGAUAUUAGUAAAGUUAAUUACAUGACUUUGUCAAAGUCAAAUCAUAGGCCAAAACCUAUAUAUCUUGA